rfam:Gammaproteobacteria bacterium RIFCSPHIGHO2_12_FTLL_36_30 rifcsphigho2_12_scaffold_78, whole genome shotgun sequence.
GCCCCGGUAGCUCAGUUGGAAAGAGCGGUCCCCUCCUAAGGGACAGGUCGGCCGUUCGAAUCGGCUCUGGGGCA